GUAACGGUGUCCUUAGACACCACCUUUUGUCUUCAAAAAACUAUUU
rfam:Picea glauca, whole genome shotgun sequence.